UACGUAGGGACCAAGCGUUGUUCGGAUUUACUGGGCGUAAAGGGCGCGUAGGCGGCAAUUCAAGUCAGUUGUGAAAUCUCCGAGCUUAACUCGGAACGGUCAACUGAUACUGUUUUGCUAGAGUACAGAAAGGGCAAUCGGAAUUCUUGGUGUAGCGGUGAAAUGCGUAGAUAUCAAGAGGAACACCUGAGGCGAAGGCGGGUUGCUAGGCUGAUACUGACGCUGAAGCGCGAAAGCUAGGGUAGCAAACGGG
rnacentral:rRNA from 2 species